GCCAUAUCCUGGAGUGGUACAGCUUCCUAUCCGACCAGCAAUAGUCAAGCACCAGAGAGCCCAGUUGUUAUUGUAGUUGGAUACCAUA